ensembl:snRNA U6 U6 spliceosomal RNA
GUGCUCCCUUCAGCAGCACAUAUACUAAAAUUGGAACGAUACAGAGAAGACUAGCAUGGUCCCUUCGCAAGGAUGACAUGCAAAUUUGUGAAGCGUUCCAUAUUUUU